rnacentral:rRNA from 1 species
UUUAUCAAAAACAUGUCUCCUUGUAUUCUUAAUAGAUAAGGAGUCGGACCUGCCCGGUGAAUAUUUUAACGGCCGCGGUACCCUGACCGUGCGAAGGUAGCGUAAUUAUUUGCCUUAUAAUUGGAGGCUUGUAUGAAUGGUUUGACUUGAGCUAAUCUGUCUCUCUGUAGUUUUGUAGAAUUUUAUUUUUAGGUGAAGAAGCCUAAAUUGAAUUAAUAGACAAGAAGACCCUAUCGAGCUUUAAAUAAGUUAUUGGAUAAUAUUAAUAUUAUGUAUACUUAUAUUAGUUCGCAUUUAUAUAAAUGUAUUGAUAAAAGAUAUUGACUGAUAAAAGUUUUUGGUUGGGGCGACUAGGGAACAAGUAAAGCUUCCUUAAUGUAUUGGACUUACAUGUGUUGAUCCAAAGUUUUUGAUUUAAGGAAUUAGUUACCGUAGGGAUAACAGCAUAAUCUUUUUUGAGAGUUCGUAUUGAAAAAAGGGUUUGUGACCUCGAUGUUGGACCAGAAUGUCCUGAAGAUGCAGAAGUCUUUGAGGGUUGGUCUGUUCGACCAUUAAAAUUCUACGUGAUCUGAGUUUAGACCGGCGUGAGCCAGGUCGGUUUCUAUCUUUAAUUAUUUUUGUAAGCUUAGUACGAAAGGACCAGUUUAUAGUAUUAAAUGUUAUUGUCGAAGAAAUAUAAUUAGUGGGUUGUCAAAUUAGCAGAAUUUAAUGUGACUGAUUUAGGAUCAGUAGAUAUAGGUGGAAAUCUUUUAUUUGACAUAUAAAGAUGGCAGAUUUAGUGCAUUAGGUUU